UACGUAGGGGGCGAGCGUUAUCCGGAUUUAUUGGGCGUAAAGCGCACGCAGGCGGUCCGGUAGGUGUGGGGUAAAAGCUCCUGGCUUAACCAGGAGAGGACUCCAUAAACGGCCGGACUUGAGAGCGAGAGAGGGACACGGAAUUCCAGGAGGAGCAGUGACAUGCGUAGAGAUCUGGAGGAACACCAAUGGCGAAGGCAGUGUCCUGGCUCGUGUCUGACGCUCAGGUGCGAAAGCUAGGGGAGCGAACGGG
rnacentral:rRNA from 1 species